UUAUCUUUUUUUAUAUCAAGUUCAAGGGGAUAUAUUUGGAGUGUUUCGAAAUCUGUAUUAAUCAUCACAACGGGGACGCUGGAGUUGCCUCAACUUUCAAAGUUUAUCUUGUGAGGAGUUUAUCAAGGUCUGCUGAAGGGAGGCCACAUGAUGGUGAUGUGGAAGAAGGCUGAACAUUAUGUUCUGCAUCCAUUUUGCUCCUUUAAAUACGACUAAAGAUGUGCUACCAGUUGAAGCGCCCCCAGGCCAAUUUUUUUUAUGAUGCUGUGCAGGACGAGUGUGCAAAGGUACCGGGUUGAUCUCCUAAAUGAAAAAUCGAUGGAACAGACGGCGUAUUGAAGAGGAAAGACAGAAUUUAUCAGCGGCAUAUUAAGCAAGAGAGUGGUAAUGUUGCGGAGAUGCUUUUAAAGCAAAUGCCUGCGCAGUAAUGAAUACAAAUCCCUACCUCAAAAACACACCCAACCUCAUUGAAAAACACUGAUUAUGUGUUGAGAAUACCGAUGUGUCUUUUUCUUAUGUCCACAAGUUCAUAAGAGGAAGAGUGGGCUGAAAUCUACAUGCAAAAUAGAAGCGCAUGCAUCACUUAUUCCCGCACUCUCUGUAUUUACCUUGUUUUCCCUCCCUAGCCAGGCUAAAGAGUUUUAAUUUGCAGAUUGCAUUAAUAUGGUAAUGUAUUAAUCAUAUUUAAUUAGAAUCCUGUUUACAAAAGAUGGGAGAUCACUGUCUGCUUUCUGAGACCUCAACACAAGAAAGCAAACAUAUUAUGGGAUGCUUUAAAGCAAUCGGUCUGCUAAAAUAGCGGGUUUAAAACAGUUCAAAUGUCUUAGGAAAAUUGUGUAAGGGUAAUCAAAACUUGAUACUUUUUGCUCUAGUGGGAUCGUUGAUAUUUCGCCAGUUUUCAGGAAAGUCACUUAACUUUUUUUUAACAGCAUUUCCACACUUUGACCUUACAUAAGUG